rnacentral:piRNA from 1 species
UAACUUCUGGAUAGUAAGCUGGUGU